UGGGGAAUAUUGGACAAUGGGCGCAAGCCUGAUCCAGCCAUGCCGCGUGAGUGAUGAAGGCCCUAGGGUUGUAAAGCUCUUUCACCGGUGAAGAUAAUGACGGUAACCGGAGAAGAAGCCCCGGCUAACUUCGUGCCAGCAGCCGCGGUAAUACGAAGGGGGCUAGCGUUGUUCGGAUUUACUGGGCGUAAAGCGCACGUAGGCGGACUUUUAAGUCAGGGGUGAAAUCCCGGGGCUCAACCCCGGAACUGCCUUUGAUACUGGAAGUCUUGAGUAUGGUAGAGGUGGGUGGAAUUCCGAGUGUAGAGGUGAAAUUCGUAGAUAUUCGGAGGAACACCAGUGGCGAAGGCGGCUCACUGGACCAUUACUGACGCUGAGGUGCGAAAGAGUGGGGAGCAAACAGG
rnacentral:rRNA from 1 species